GUGCCUGUGGGAUGAACAGGUCCCCAUAGUUACUACCAUUUUCUCACUUUGUCAGCUAUUACAUAUGUUAUUAGCUGAUCAUUUAAGAAUGGGAAAUGU
rnacentral:snoRNA from 2 species